CGGACGGGUGAGUAAUGUAUGGGGAUCUGCCUGAUGGCGGGGGAUAACUACCGGAAACGGUAGCUAAUACCGCAUAAUGUCUGCGGACCAAAGCGGGGGACCUCCGGGCCUCGCGCCAUCAGAUGAACCCAUAUGGGAUUAGCUUGUAGGUAAGGUAACGGCUUACCUAGGCGACGAUCCCUAGCUGGUCUGAGAGGAUGAUCAGCCACACUGGGACUGAGACACGGCCCAG
rnacentral:rRNA from 1 species